UACGACCAGUUCGUGUUGAAACAUAGGAUCCCGUCGGAUCAGUGAAGUUAAGCAAUGUUGAGUCUGGUCAGUACUUAGAUGGGUGACCACUUGGGAAGAGCAGGUGUUGUUA